AACAAUAGUCAUUCUUAAAAUAUUUUUCGAUGAAUAUUCGUAAAGUAAGUGAUGAAAUAUUCGGAGAGAAGUUACGAUAGAUAACCAAUGACUAUAUUACAUGAUAAUUAUAAGAUUUUGACUCAAUUCCGUUUUUAUUAUUGGUUCAUAAUUCUAGUUCCAAUUUAAGGUCUAGAAAGUGUGAUCCUUUAUCUUUGCUAGCUCCAUUAGAUUGAUCACCACUCUUUGUUCAUAAUCUCCAUCCUACUAUAGGAUUUUUCCAAAUUCACCUUCAGCUUAAGUUUCCUCUCUCUCUUCCUCUUCCUCUCCUCGAAUUUCACCAUAGCAAGUUCUCCUCUCCCCUCGACAGCACCACUUCCGUAGUAAACGACCAGUGUAGAAGCAGAAGAAGGUCAUUGAAAGGGAAAGAAGGUAGCUUAGCAGCGAAGAAAAGGCCAAUAACAUGACAUCGGCAGCCGAUGGAAGAGGACUUGGGGCAGCGAAAACGAAAGUAUAUGUCUGGCAGUGAGGUCCAGAGCUCUCAUUGAAGGGGUCAAUUUUGGGAGUGAUAAGGUGGCAACGAGUGGAGUGAAAAUCGAAGACGGAGAAGAAGGAGAAAGACAAGGCAUGAAACUCCGACUGUGAGAGAGUUAUCAUGUCGAUUCAAGUCAGGGAUUCUAUGUUGAGAAAUUGUUGUUGCUCCUGCAGUGGAGGCAUUGACAGCUAUAAGGUAGCUGCAGGGAUUAAGAGAAGAAAAAAAAAACUUCAUGAGAGAUAGAGGUAUAGUAACUCCAACGCAUUAAACCUCUCUCAAUACUCAAAACAACGUUGUUUUCGUUGUAUUUGGAGGCUAGAAAGGAAACGACGAUGUUUACAACUUCAGCGUGGUCUCUAUCCAACUACGUUAUUAAUUUGUUAUCGAAAAAUAUCUCAAGAAUGAUUGUUGGUAAAUUCAGGAAUAAA